UACGUAGGGGGCAAGCGUUGUCCGGAUUUACUGGGUGUAAAGGGCGCGCAGGCGGGUUAGCAAGUCAGAGGUGAAAUCCUGCAGCUUAACUGCAGAACUGCCUUUGAUACUGUUAAUCUUGAGUACGGAAGAGAGAAGCGGAAUUCCAGGUGUAGUGGUGAAAUACGUAGAUAUCUGGAAGAACACCAGUUGCGAAGGCGGCUUCUUGGUCCGUUACUGACGCUCAGGCGCGAAAGCGUGGGUAGCAAACAGG
rnacentral:rRNA from 1 species